rnacentral:ncRNA from 1 species
GGAGCCUGCGGCUUAAUUUGACUCAACACGGGAAACCUCACCCGGCCCGGACACGGACAGGAUUGACAGAUUGAUAGCUCUUUCUCGAUUCCGUGGGUGGUGGUGCAUGGCCGUUCUUAGUUGGUGGAGCGAUUUGUCUGGUUAAUUUCCGAUAACGAAACGAGACUCUGGCAUGCUAACUAGUUACGCGACCCCCGAGCGGUCGGCGUCCCCCAACUUCUUAGAGGGAAAGUGGCGUUCAGCCACCGAGAUUGAGCAAUAACAGGUCUGUGAUGCCCUUAGAUGUCCGGGGCUGCCCGCGCGCUAC